UCACCUCUCUACCCUUUGUGAACUAUUAUACCUGUUGCUUCGGCGGCGCCCGCAAGGGUGCCCGCCGGUCUCAUCAGAAUCUCUGUUUUCGAACCCGACGAUACUUCUGAGUGUUCUUAGCGAACUGUCAAAACUUUUAACAACGGAUCUCUUGGCUCCAGCAUCGAUGAAGAACGCAGCGAAACGCGAUAUGUAAUGUGAAUUGCAGAAUUCAGUGAAUCAUCGAAUCUUUGAACGCACAUGGCGCCUUCCAGUAUCCUGGGAGGCAUGCCUGUCCGAGCGUCGUUUCAACCCUCGAGCCCCUGUGGCCCGGCGUUGGGGAUCUGCCACGGCAGGCCCCUAAAACCAGUGGCGGACCCGAAGGGCCCUCUCCUUUGCGCAGUAGCAUUCGCCUCGCAUCGGGAGUCCUCGGCGUCCUGCCUCUAAACCCCCCACAAGCCCGCUUCGGCGGCACCAAGGUUGACCUCGGAUCAGGUAGGAAUACCCGCUGAACUUAAGCAUAUCAAUAAGCGGAGGA
rnacentral:rRNA from 1 species